rnacentral:tRNA from 8 species
CCGACUAGUUCCGGGUUC